UCAGUGAGAUUGGGCCAGUAUGAUGCAUUUCUAUAUCUACAGAUAGUCUGCAUUGGUUAGCGAUAGUAUAGUAGCAUGUAGCUGUAAAGUUCUUUCCAGCUUUCUUUACUAUCCUUUGCACAUCUUUCUGUAGACUUAGUGGGUGGGCCGUUAAGGUCGGUGGUGGUAUCCAUUGAGGACUAUUUAUUUUAUAGUAGUUCUCACACCCAGUUGUUGAUACCUUUUUGUAGAGUCUUCGUCUACGGCUGCUGCUGUUUCUUAUUUAGAUCGUGGGAAGGGAGUCGCGAGUUAGAUCCCUACCAGUCGUAUUGUCGUGCUUGAAGAGUACCAGCCAGAGGUAGUUUUGGGGGCUUUCUCUGUACAUACUGUUAUAUUAUUGUGGUACUCGCUAGAGCGAGUAAGUCGUGGACUUUUUCAUGUACCAGAAUCCCUUUAUAUUUAUAAAUAUAUUUCCGUUUAGCAGCUCUAUACUUCUGAUUAUAACUAUCAUUUGAUUACAGGUAUAGCUAUCGCUUCGUAUACAUCGAAAAUUUCUAUGUAUACGGCGGGUCUGUUGGCGUACCCGAAAAAACGUAGUAAUACGGGACGUGACAUUAUUACAUAAAAUAAAUUAUUAUAUAUAAUAAAAUAAAUAUGCUAUUUUAAAUUAAACUGUUAUAUAAAAUAUUAUAUUAUAAAUUACAAUAUGAAAUAAUUUUAUAACUAAUUUUAUAUAAAAUAUACUAAUAUAAAUUAAUUAUUUUAUUUUUAAAAAUAUAUUUAGACAUUGUUCUAGACUUUUUAUCCAAACGCUACUAANUUUAAAAAUAUAUUUAGACAUUGUUCUAGACUUUUUAUCCAAACGCUACUAAGGAUAUCCUCUAGAAUACCCCGAAUGCAUUGUAACACAAAUUUACAAUUGUUCUAUCUUAUACCAAAAUAUUCGCUAUACUCGGAAACAACAAAAAUUAUUCUUCAAAAUUUAGUUCUCCAAUCAAACGCAGUCUGAAGGACUUUUUAAGAGUUAAGG
rnacentral:lncRNA from 1 species